CUUCGCGAGAGGUGGGGAUGGGGAGCCAGAACUCAGCCGAGGCCAUAGUAGGUGCGUCACCGCGUACGGAAGGGC
rnacentral:ncRNA from 2 species